rnacentral:rRNA from 1 species
UACGAAGGGGACUAGCGUUGUUCGGAAUUACUGGGCGUAAAGCGCACGUAGGCGGGUCUUUAAGUCAGAGGUGAAAUCCUGGAGCUCAACUCCAGAACUGCCUUUGAUACUGAAAGUCUUGAGUAUGGGAGAGGUGAGUGGAACUGCGAGUGUAGAGGUGAAAUUCGUAGAUAUUCGCAAGAACACCAGUGGCGAAGGCGGCUCACUGGCCCAUUACUGACGCUGAGGCACGAAAGCGUGGGGAGCAAACAGG